AGAACAUUCCAUAGAUCUGGCUAAACAAGGUAGGGACACAACAUUCCAUAGAUCUGGCUAAACAAGGUAGGUAUAGAACAUUCCAUAGAUCUGGCUAAACAAGGUAGGUACAGAACAUUCCAUAGAUCUGGCUAAACAAGGUAGGUAUAGAACAUUCCAUAGAUCUGGCUAAACAAGGUAGGUACAGAACAUUCCAUAGAUCUGGCUAAACAAGGUAGGUACAGAACAUUCCAUAGAUCUGGCUAAAC